CUCCUACGGGAGGCUGCAGUGGGGAAUAUUGGACAAUGGGGGCAACCCUGAUCCAGCAAUGCCGCGUGUGUGAAGAAGGCCUUCGGGUUGUAAAGCACUUUUAUCCGGAACGAAACGUGCGGGGUGAAUAGCCUCGUAAACUGACGGUACCGGAGGAAUAAGCACCGGCUAACUUCGUGCCAGCAGCCGCGGUAAUACGAAGGGUGCAAGCGUUACUCGGAAUUACUGGGCGUAAAGGGUGCGUAGGUGGUUUUUUAAGUCUGCUGUGAAAUCCCCGGGCUCAACCUGGGAAUGGCAGUGGAUACUGGAAAGCUGGAGUGCGGUAGAGGGUAGUGGAAUUCCCGGUGUAGCAGUGAAAUGCGUAGAGAUCGGGAGGAACACCAGUGGCGAAGGCGGCUACCUGGACCAGCACUGACACUGAGGCACGAAAGCGUGGGGAGCAAACAGGAUUAGAUACCCUGGUAGUCCACGCCCUAAACGAUGCGAACUGGAUGUUGGGUGCAACUUGGCACUCAGUAUCGAAGCUAACGCGUUAA
rnacentral:rRNA from 1 species